UUAUGGGCUUGGCUCUUUCAAUUUUUUUCCCAUGGUGUCACAGCAACACUCUGGAGAUUCUCUGUGAUCUGCCUGAUCCAUCCGUACCCCUGGAUGAAGUUCUCAACAAUAGGAAACCACAUGAGGUGGAGGGUUAAUUUUGGGACCAUGAAAAUCUAUGUGGACUCUGAUUAGUGUGGACAGUUUGCUCCAAUGGCUUGUGGCUGCGAUGCCAUGAGCAGUUUUUUACAUUCAAAAACCCAUCAGUGAACCUCAACAAUGAAAGGUUCCUUUUUGAGACUGGUUCCUCUCAAGGUUUCAUCCUCAUACCAUUUUUUUUUGCCACUGUCACCACUUAUAAAUAAAUAGAAACUAAUCUAUGAUGCUAAAAUGUGAAUUUGUAAUCAAUUGUGUUUAAUGAUGCUGCUUUGGGACAAUGUCCAUUCUUAAAAACAGUGUACAAAUUCAAUUAAAUUAAAAGAAAAUAAACAUUAUUUUGCUGGAUAAUAAAAUUCAGACAGAUGAAAUGUCACGUGUAGAAGGAAUUGUGUUAUAAACAAUUUUUAUUAGUGUAUUUUGGUAUAACUAACUGCACAGAAAUAAUGCAUUAAUCAUUUUCUCAUGUCUGCCUUGAAUAUUUCAUAACCGUUGCAUUUCCCACACAAUUCAAUUUCAUGCUUCGCUCAACACGAAGGUUCAUUUGGUUGUUUUUCGCCUUGUUUGCUGUACAGUUUAUUCCUGAUGUAGUCAUUAUUUCCGCAUCCUCUCACAUCAACCGAAUAACUCACACUAACUGAAAAUCUUUUUUUUGUGCGUGUGAUUUUUAAUUUCUUGUUCAAUAUUUUGCAACCUAGAACGUAUUUUUAUACACUUUUGCCCCCUAUCGGUCGAUUGAAUAAUUCCUGUCACAGCAACAACAAAAAAGACACGUAUAUUGAAUAAUUCCUAAAAUAGGUUCUGUAUCUACUUCCAUAAAUAUUGUAUAUGAAUCCCUGCUACCAAAAGGUUUAUAGAAUACAGAUAUAUAGAAAAUACAUAAAGACAAGAAUGUGCAAUGCAUAAUCAACAGUGAUCUCAUAUGA